UACAGGGGGUGCAAACGUUGCUCGGAAUCACUGGGCGGUAAAGGGCGCGUAGGCGGCUUUGUAAGUCGGGGGUGAAAGCCUGUGGCUCAACCACAGAAUUGCCUUCGAUACUGCAUGGCUUGAGACCGGAAGAGGUAAGUGGAACUGACGAGUGUAGAGGUGAAAUUCGUAGAUAUUCGCAAGAACACCAGUGGCGAAGGCGGCUUACUGGUCCGGUUCUGACGCUGAGGCGCGAAAGCGUGGGGAGCAAACAGGG
rnacentral:rRNA from 1 species